UACGUAGGGUGCAAGCGUUAAUCGGAAUUACUGGGCGUAAAGCGUGCGCAGGCGGUUAUGCAAGACAGAGGUGAAAUCCCCGGGCUCAACCUGGGAACUGCCUUUGUGACUGCAUAGCUAGAGUACGGUAGAGGGGGAUGGAAUUCCGCGUGUAGCAGUGAAAUGCGUAGAUAUCCGGAGGAACACCAGUGGCGAAAGCGGCCACCUGGACUGCACCUGACGCUGACACGCGAAAGCUAGGGGAGCGAACGGG
rnacentral:rRNA from 1 species